rnacentral:rRNA from 1 species
GACGAACGCUGGCGGCGUGCUUAACACAUGCAAGUCGAACGGAAAGGCCCUGCUUUUGUGGGGUGCUCGAGUGGCGAACGGGUGAGUAACACGUGAGUAACCUGCCCUUGACUUUGGGAUAACUUCAGGAAACUGGGGCUAAUACCGGAUAGGAGCUCCUGCUGCAUGGUGGGGGUUGGAAAGUUUCGGCGGUUGGGGAUGGAUUCGCGGCUUAUCAGCUUGUUGGUGGGGUAGUGGCUUACCAAGGCUUUGACGGGUAGCCGGCCUGAGAGGGUGACCGGCCACAUUGGGACUGAGAUACGGCCCAGACUCCUACGGGAGGCAGCAGUGGGGAAUAUUGCACAAUGGGCGGAAGCCUGAUGCAGCAACGCCGCGUGCGGGAUGAUGGCCUUCGGGUUGUAAACCGCUUUCGCCUGUGACGAAGCGUGAGUGACGGUAAUGGGUAAAGAAGCACCGGCUAACUACGUG